UAAGGAAUAUUGGUCAGUGGACGCAAGUCUGAACCAGCCAUGCCGCGUGAAGGAUGAAGGUCCUCUGGAUUGUAAACUUCUUUUAUCUGGGACGAAAACGGGAUUUUUAUCUCAAUUGACGGUACCAGAGGAAUAAGCACCGGCUAACUCCGUGCCAGCAGCCGCGGUAAUACGGAGGGUGCGAGCGUUAUCCGGAUUUACUGGGUUUAAAGGGUGCGUAGGUGGGCUUAUAAGUCAGUGGUGAAAUCUCCGAGCUUAACUUGGAAACUGCCGUUGAUACUAUAGGUCUUGAAUUAUCUGGAGGUAAGCGGAAUAUGUCAUGUAGCGGUGAAAUGCUUAGAUAUGACAUAGAACACCAAUUGCGAAGGCAGCUUACUACAUAUAAAUUGACGCUGAGGCACGAAAGCGUGGGGAUCAAACA
rnacentral:rRNA from 1 species